rnacentral:rRNA from 1 species
GACGAACGCUGGCGGCGCGCUUAACACAUGCAAGUCGAACGGAAAGGCCUGCUUUCCCUUGUGGCUUUCGGGUACUCGAGUGGCGAACGGGUGAGUAACACGUGAGUGAUCUGCCCCCAACUUGGGUAUAAGCCUGGGAAACUGGGUCUAAUUCCCGAUAGGACUGCAGGGUGGUGCCUGUGGUGGAACACGAUUUUCUAGUGGUUGGGGAUGAGCUCGCGGCCUAUCAGCUUGUUGGUGGGGUAAUUGCCUACCAAGGCGGGGACGGGUAGCCGGCCUGGGAGGGUGGACGGCCACAUUGGGACUGAGAUACGGCCCAGACUCCUACGGGAGGCAGCAGUGGGGAAUAGUGCACAAUGGGCGGAAGCCUGAUGCAGCGACGCCGCGUGGGGGAUGACGGCCUUCGGGUUGUAAACUCCUUUCGACCGCGAGGAAGCCACCUGGUUGGAAGGGUGGUGACGGUAGUGGUAGAAGAAGCACCGGCUAACUACGUG